CAUGUGUUUGAACCAAAUACCAUGUGUUUGAACGAAAUACCUUAGGCUUCAAAGAUAGCUGGGGUCUAGUCCUAAAAAAAAAAAAAACGACACCCCCGGCUCUGUAAACUCAUUCCGUACUAUCACGACUUUUGAGCCAAGGCCGCAAACUUCUCAACGAGUCUAGUGAAACAGAUAGUUUCCCACUGUUAGCAUCGUUUUUAGCGCAGUUACACACAUGCAGGACAGCAGAAUUGUUAUCGGACUGACCCGUUAAAAAGAUAAUCUGGGAAACCAUCCUAAUGGAUCUUUCGGAAGGAUAUGCAACAUUAAGCCAACUGCAUCCCGGGGAUAAAGGAUAUGGAACCGCCUUCGUUAGAAAGGAAUUCCGAAGAGCAACGGAUGGACACAGAAUUUUACGAGAUAUCUAUAUGUCAACUGUAUGUAUUUUUUAUGAUAAAAUGUACACCCGAAAUCGAAAAUCAUACAACCCUGGAGGACAUGAUCGAAACGGAAGGGGUACCCCCGGAACAUGAAGAGUAAAACAUUGAAUUCGGAAGAUUUCCCCGCUUCAAAUGACAUUUCGGAGGUCUCUGAUUUGCGGUUGUUUGUGAUGGGCAGAAAACAGGUUAAGGAAAACUCCGAGGCUGAAACAACAUUCAGUUAUGCUAUUCUAAAACAGGAAGACAACGAUUUUUACAGAUAUUCAGAAACAGAUGGACAAUAAUUAUCAUUAUAAUUUGUUUUUUAAAUAUAUUUUUUAGGCCAUAUGUUAAAUGGACGUAUUCGUAUAAGUUAAAAUGUAUCUAUUUCGUAUAAAUACAUGUUAACAUUAUCUAACAUAUGUAUGAUACCCCGAGGCUAUAGGGCAUAAUGGAUUUGGAACCGACAGAUUUAGAUGGGGAUUCUCAGAAGCAAACUGCGUCAGGUCCUUUACGUGGCCCAUUCACUAAUACACUAUUUUCGGCGUAAGUCCCCCUCCCCCCCGACUAAGGAAGAGCAGAUGAAACAGAGACAAUUCUGCGGGCUUGUACUGAAUGAAGGUCUUAACCGAACUCCAAACACAAGCCAGCAGCCCAGGACAGAUAAAACGAUAGUCGGUGAAUCUUUCCUUCCUCAUGGAACUUUUUUGAAGGGGAUGUGAAUAUUAGAGGUGAUGUUUGUAUAUAUAUUAUCUAAGAAUGAUUGGUAUUAAUUCUAAGCAUUUACAUGUAUGUUUUUAAAAAUGAAGGCUAUUUAUACAAUGAAACAUUGUUUUUAUUCAUACUGUUUGUAAACAAUAGCUUCUGCCCCCUUAGGGUCUACUUGAACCGCUUAUUAAAUCAGACCUCUCAGACCAGAAAGAUUGAUUAGAAACCAUGGCCGACUAUAUUCAAUCUGUGAUUAGAAAUGAUAAGAAGCUAUGACAAAACUAUGAUCAAACUAGGAUAAUAAACUAUGAACAACUAUGAAGACAGGGCUGUAUGUGUGUGAAUGAUGAGCUAUUAUUUAAGUGUGUAAUAUUACUCUCUCUCUCUCUCUGUCAGGCUAUGACAAAGACAAGAGAUAGGACAUUGACUCCUGAGUGUUGAUAGGUCUUAGAUUUUUAUAGACAGGGUAUCUGUAAAACACAAUGUGACAACUAUUGAAGAUGCAAAAAGGGUUUUUCAGAAAUAUAUUUGGUUGACAGAUUUGUAUUAAUAUAAAAAGUAAUAUAAAAAUGAUUAGAAUCUUUAGUAUUAUUAUGUUACAUGCGAGACAUACCCAGAAAUGUCAGCGUAGACAACUUACAAGAAUGUGUUUACCAGGCCGUGAUGAAAACAUUUUAAAGGAGCUUUAAUUCAAACAUGCAAAGAUAUAUAUUUGAUACAAUUACCAACGUUAAAAACAUUUGUUACAAUAUCCCAAAUAAUGUUUCUCGAACUAACACACUGUAGAGUUUCCUAUUUACUAAAGAACAAUAACUAAGACAAAACACAAAAAGUUGUAAUACAAUCGGUAUACAUGUCAUUAUAUAUGGAAAACAGGUACAUUUUGAAAGAUUAUGCUGUUGAUGUGAUUUUUUAAAAUUCAUUUCUCAAUUUAGGAUAAUACGGUUUAUUUUAUACUUUACUUAAAUUGUAUUAUUUAUCUUGCCUCAUACCAGGCUAAUACACUACCAAGCCAUGCAAACAGCUAGGGACUUAACCCAGAACAGUUGUGGGUCUUUUUUUUUGGAACAAUAAAUGAUCACGAAUACCAAUAGGCGUGAUUUGAUCCUCAAACCAAUCAAGACAUCCUAUAAUGCACAGACAUAUGCAAAACCAUAAAACUCUGACAAGAAAACAAUGCAAAAUCUUAACAUGACUACAUGCACUGCCAUCAUUUUUUUUAGUUACCAUCCACCAAUGGUUGAAUUUGGUACUUUUUUCUAUGUAGAUGCACCGAGCCUCCAAGUGGAUGGAGACAUACAACAGGCUAAAUUUAAACGACCCAAGUAUGUGAAAAGCUGGGGGUCAAAGGUAUUUUUUAUGUUUGGUUUUGGUUACAACCAACAGGGCUUCCUAACAUUCGACAUAACUAGGAAGCCUUAUGCGGGAGAUUAGAACUCAAAAGUAAUAGGGGGUAAGAAAGAUCAUAAAGGUAAUUUCAUAUUUCGGUUUAGGGGGUUAAUAACUUUAGGGAAAACAAUAUUCACACUAUGUGUAUUAUAAACAUGUUAGAGACCCAACACAUCAUGAUGUAACAGGGCUGAGUGGCGAUUCAAAGUACAACAGGAGGCUUCUGUAAACUGCAAUACGUGUUAAAUAUGUUCUACAUACAGCCAAGACUGAGUGGUUUCACAAACUCUCUUUAAAGGUUUUGUAAGAAAGUAGUAACAGGCCUCAUUCAACAGUCUAGAGAUUAACCUAGAGACACCAAAAACAUCAACGUUUAGAGCAGCUUGGAGAUUAUUCCCCCAUGUAAGGGGGGCAAAGAGUUGAUUUACCUAACCCUGUACAAACCAAAGGAAUUUCCAGAGUUAGCAAACCCUGACACUGGGUAUGAUAACUCUGACUCGUAUGUCUAAUGAUUAUUGUAGAUGUUUACACCUGAGGGAGUUUACAGUAGGUCAGUUAGAUGUAUAAAUGCAAAGAGAGCAACAAAUUGACCUACGUUACCUCAAAGGACAGCCUACUUUAUAAUAGAGAAUGCAUGGAUGUGUACUGAACAUGUACCCCUUAUAAAACAUAGCGAUCUACGGUCAGAUGCAUCUAAAGUUUUUAAUGAAGUGGCCGCUGCAUUUAAUUUAGAUUACUUCAACAUAGUCUAGAACCAGUAAGACCAUUGAUUGAAUGAUCUGCUUUAAUGAAUAAGAUGGGUAGAAAAAUAAUCUGUUUAAGUCAUAAGUAAAGGCCUUUCAUAAAGAGGCUGUCAUGAUUGACUGUGGCCCAUAUUUAACACGUAUUGCUUGUUACCUAAGACUAUUGUUGUACAUUGAAUAUCCACUAGCAGAUUUGUGUAGCAUGCAUCUCCACUAUAUCUGUCAUGUUACUGUGGUCUUUUUAAAAGUCAAUAAACAUAUGUGUAAAAUGUACACUUUUGUUUCACUGUAGAUUUGUUUAAGCCCACCUAGAAACACCUGAUUUAUCCCACAGCAUUAAUGAAUAAGCUGUGUAGAAAAUUAUUCUGUUUAUGUCAUAAGUAAAGGCCUUUCAUAAAGAGGCUGUCAUGAUUGACUGUGGCCCCAUAUUUAACACGUAUUGCUUGUUACAGAAGACCCCUGUUGUACAUUGAAUAUCCACUAGCAGAUUUGUGUAGCAUGCAUCUCCACUAUAUCUGUCAUGUUACUGUGGUCUUUUUAAAAGUCAAUAAACAUAUGUGUAAAAUGUA